AUGGGUACGGGGACGUGGCAAAGCAAAGUCUGCGGAGGAGAAGGUCCAACUUCAGUGGCAGAUCUGGUGGCCUUGGAGUGGCUGAAGACCACCACCCUCCACAGGGCUGCGCUCAGGCACAAAGCCAUUCUUCCUUUCCCUGAGUGAGCUUCCUCUGCACGUUGUUUAUAUCAUUGGCAGAGCUUGUAGGUGGAAAGGGGGCUGAGUGACGAAUGGACUUUGUAUGAAAACACCAACCUGGGACAGACCUUCAGUCAAGGCUGAGACGGGGUUGGGGUAUAUAACUUGGCCUUGCCUUUAACUUGGAUCAUGACUGGCUCUGAGGCUGAGGCAGGGGCAGAGCAGGUGCUGGGACUGCCCUAAAAGCUGGAAUCAGUAGCCCUGCCAACCCUAGAGCCAAGGCUAGGAUCCAGGCCAAGGCAGUGGGUGAGGCAGAACUGGAAACAGGAACAGUGACCCAGGCCAAGGCUGGGGAUGGAGCAGUGGCCAGGACACAGACAGUGACCUGCACUGAGGCCGUGGCUG
rnacentral:lncRNA from 1 species